ensembl:lncRNA
CUUGAAGUGAAAACGCGUGAUUUUCGCUUUAAUUGGGGAUUUGAGAAAAGAAAACGCGUGAUUUUUGCUUAAAUGGCGGAUUUGUGAAGAGAAAACGCAAGUUUUCCGCAUAAACAGGGGAUUUGCAAAUUGAAAACAUGCGAUGUUCGGGUUAACUGGGGGAAUCUCGAAGAGAAAACACGUGGUUUUCAGGUUAAAUGGGGAUUUGCGAAGAGAAAAUGCGUGAUUUUCGCUUAAAUGGGGGAUUUGAGAAAACACAUGAUUUUCGGGUUAAAUGGGGGAUUCUCGAAGAGAAAAUGCUUGGUUUUCUGGUUAAAUGGGGGAUUUGCGAAGAGAAAAUGCGUGAUUUUCGCUUAAAUGGGGGAUUUGAGAAAACACAUGAUUUUCGGGUUAAAUGGGGGAUUCUCGAAGAGAAAAUGCUUGGUUUUCUGGUUAAAUGGGGGAUUUGCGAAGAGAAAACACGUGAUUUUCGCUUAAAUGGGGGAUUUCCGAAGAGAAAACGCAUGAUUUUCUGGUUAAAUGUUGGAUUCUCGAAGAGAAAACGCGUGAUUUUCGCUUAAAUGGGGGAUUUGAGAAAACGCGUGAUUUUCGGUUAAAUGUUGGAUUCUCGAAGAGAAAACGCGUGAUUUUCGCUUAAAUGGGGGUUUUGCGAAGGGAAAACGUGUGAUUUUCUGGUUAAAUGGAGGAUUUCCGAAGAGAAAACGUGUGAUUUUCGCAUAAAUGGGGGAUUUCCGAAGAGAAA